rnacentral:rRNA from 1 species
GGGGGACCAUCCUCCAAGGCUAAAUACUCCUGACUGACCGAUAGUGAACCAGUACCGUGAGGGAAAGGCGAAAAGAACCCCGGCGAGGGGAGUGAAAAAGAACCUGAAACCGUGUACGUACAAGCAGUGGGAGCCUCUUAAUGGGGUGACUGCGUACCUUUUGUAUAAUGGGUCAGCGACUUAUAUUCUGUAGCAAGGUUAACCGAAUAGGGGAGCCGAAGGGAAACCGAGUCUUAACUGGGCGUUAAGUUGCAGGGUAUAGACCCGAAACCCGGUGAUCUAGCCAUGGGCAGGUUGAAGGUUGGGUAACACUAACUGGAGGACCGAACCGACUAAUGUUGAAAAAUUAGCGGAUGACUUGUGGCUGGGGGUGAAAGGCCAAUCAAACCGGGAGAUAGCUGGUUCUCCCCGAAAGCUAUUUAGGUAGCGCCUCGUGAAUUCAUCUCCGGGGGUAGAGCACUGUUUCGGCAAGGGGGUCAUCCCGACUUACCAACCCGAUGCAAACUGCGAAUACCGGAGAAUGUUAUCACGGGAGACACACGGCGGGUGCUAACGUCCGUCGUGAAGAGGGAAACAACCCAGACCGCCAGCUAAGGUCCCAAAGUCAUGGUUAAGUGGGAAACGAUGUGGGAAGGCCCAGACAGCCAGGAUGUUGGCUUAGAAGCAGCCAUCAUUUAAAGAAAGCGUAAUAGCUCACUGGUCGAGUCGGCCUGCGCGGAAGAUGUAACGGGGCUAAACCAUGCACCGAAGCUGCGGCAGCGACACUAUGUGUUGUUGGGUAGGGGAGCGUUCUGUAAGCCUGUGAAGGUGGCCUGUGAGGGUUGCUGGAGGUAUCAGAAGUGCGAAUGCUGACAUAAGUAACGAUAAAGCGGGUGAAAAGCCCGCUCGCCGGAAGACCAAGGGUUCCUGUCCAACGUUAAUCGGGGCAGGGUGAGUCGACCCCUAAGGCGAGGCCGAAAGGCGUAGUCGAUGGGAAACAGGUUAAUAUUCCUGUACUUGGUGUUACUGCGAAGGGGGGACGGAGAAGGCUAUGUUGGCCGGGCGACGGUUGUCCCGGUUUAAGCGUGUAGGCUGGUUUUCCAGGCAAAUCCGGAAAACC